rnacentral:lncRNA from 1 species
GUACAAAUGAGGAGCUGGGGUGGGGGUGGGGUUUAAACACAGGCACAGAAUGCUCAUUAGUUACAUUAAUCUUGACCUAAUGGAAGUCUUGGCUUAGGAAGGUGGCACUUACAUGAAUGAGACUAAUGUUCUAAAUACAGGAUGCUGGCAGAACAGAAAGAAAGUCAUGGAGCAGUGGAUUGGAGUCAAACCAAAGUUAUAAGAGAAUGGAGACGAAGGUAACUUGCAAAAGCAAGCUGAGAAGGAAAGCGACCUCAGAGGUAUCCAAUAGUGACGUGAAGCCAGACAUUUUGGAGAAGAAUCAUUGACAACUACCAAUUAGAGGUUAAGAACUUGCUUUCUGGAGUCCAACCACCUAAAUUUGGAAUGAAGUUUGCCGGCUUAAUGCUUCGAUUUUCUCACUCCCGUACCUCCCACCGUCCCAGCCUCCGACAACUCACCUAACACCCCAUCAUCACCACCACCACCUCUCAGCCUUCCAGCGUGCUCACUGUCUCCCUGAUUCUAGAAAGAGUCAAAGGAACCUUAAAUUCAAAGGCCUUCAUCAAAGGCAUACAUCAAAAUGAGGGUAUAUUACAAAAAACAAAUCACACAGGGAUGCAUAUUGUCAACAGUUUUGUGCAAUGUAUUCCAGAUGACCCUUUAGAAUCAACUGCCCAAGAGCACACCCAGAUGUUGAGGGGGAUACUGAUGACUUCAUAGUAUCACUUCUCAACCUGCUUCUAACCAAAAACUCUACCACCUACUGGUUGGACCAAUGAGGUGAGGGGUGUGUGUGUGUAUUAGUGUGUGAGCAAGACACAAUGGUGGAGUAAGAAAGGCAAAGGGAAACAGAAUUCUUCAUUCUUAUUGUAUUAUUUGAAGGCCUCAGAAUUUAUAGUUGCAGAUAAAAGAACUACUCAUAUGUACAGAAGUCUCUCAAGUCUUGGGAAAAUGGAAACAUUAAUAAGACCUUAGUGUUAUAGGUUGAAUUGUGUCCUCCUGAAGUUCAUAUGUUGAAGCCCUCACCUCCAAUGGGACUGUAUUUGGAGAUCAGGACCUUAACUGGGUAAUUAAGGUUAAAUGAGGGCGUAAGGGUGGGGUCCUAAUCCAGUGUGACUGUGUCCUUGUAAGAGGAAGAGACACCAGGGAUGCGCUGCACAGAAUAAAGGUCAUGUAAGGAUACA